ensembl:lncRNA
GUAGAGCUUUUAAAGAAGUAGUGAAGUCUAUGUGACUGUACUACAGCCUCUGCCUAGAGGUGUGGAGCUGUAAAGGAGUAGUGAAUGUGUGACUGUACUACAGCCUCUGUCUAGAGGUGUGGAGCUGUGAAGGAGUAGUGAAUUCUAUGUGACUGUACUACAACCUCUACCUAGAGGUGUGGGGCUGUAAAGGAGUAGUGAAUGUGUGACUGUACUACAACCUCUGCCUAGAGGUGUGGGGCUGUAAAGGAGUAGUGAAUGUGUGACUGUACUACAGCCUCUGCCUAGAGGUGUGGAGCUGUAAAGGAGUAGUGAAUGUGUGACUGUACUACAGCCUCUGCCUAGAGGUGUGGAGCUGUAAAGGAGUGGUGAAUGUGUGACUGUACUACAACCUCUACCUAGAGGUGUGGGGCUGUAAAGGAGUAGUGAAUGUGUGACUGUACUACAACCUCUGCCUAGAGGUGUGGAGCUAAUAGCUAGAAUCCAUAGUUGCUAC